rnacentral:sRNA from 1 species
CAUCGACGACCACUCACGCACGGCAGGAGCGGGGGACCCAGGUAGAACGCCGACGCAAACGUCGUACACAGUACGCAGUGAUCAGUGCCGAGCACCCAGUACCCGGCACCGGUCACGCAGUGCGACGCACCGCGCCGGCUUGGGGUGAAGCCGCGUCGCCGUCCCCACGGCGGCCGGCCGGGCACCUCCCAGCCCGAACCCGACAGCUCACCUCGCAGGCGACGGAGAGGAACUUC